ACUUAAAUUGAAGAGUUUGAUCAUGGCUCAGAUUGAACGCUGGCGGCAGGCCUAACACAUGCAAGUCGAGCGGUAGCACAGAGAGCUUGCUCUCGGGUGACGAGCGGCGGACGGGUGAGUAAUGUCUGGGAAACUGCCUGAUGGAGGGGGAUAACUACUGGAAACGGUAGCUAAUACCGCAUAACGUCGCAAG
rnacentral:rRNA from 2 species